rnacentral:rRNA from 1 species
CCUACGGGAGGCAGCAGUGAGGAAUAUUGGUCAAUGGCCGCAGGGCUGAACCAGCCAAGUCGCGUGAGGGAUGACGGUCCUAUGGAUUGUAAACCUCUUUUGUCAGGGAGCAAAGGGCGCCACGUGUGGCGCUUUGCGAGUACCUGAAGAAAAAGCAUCGGCAAACUCCGUGCCAGCAGCCGCGGUAAUACGGAGGAUGCGAGCGUUAUCCGGAUUUAUUGGGUUUAAAGGGUGCGCAGGCGGAAUGUCAAGUCAGCGGUAAAAUUUCGGGGCUCAACCCCGUCGUGCCGUUGAAACUGGCGUUCUUGAGUGAGCGAGAGGUAUGCGGAAUGCGUGGUGUAGCGGUGAAAUGCAUAGAUAGCGCGCAGAACUCCGAUUGCGAAGGCAGCAUACCGGCGCUCAACUGACGCUCAUGCACGAAAGCGUGGGUAUCGAACAGGAUUAGAUACCCGUGUAGUC